GUAGGUGGCAAGCGUUGUCCGGAAUUAUUGGGCGUAAAGCGCGCGCAGGCGGUUCUUUAAGUCUGAUGUGAAAGCCCACGGGCUCAACCGUGGAGGGUCAUUGGAAACUGGAGAACUUGAGUACAGAAGAGGAAAGCGGAAUUCCACGUGUAGCGGUGAAAUGCGUAGAGAUGUGGAGGAACACCAGUGGCGAAGGCGGCUUUCUGGUCUGUAACUGACGCUGAGGCGCGAAAGCGUGGGGAGCAAACAGGAUUAGAUACCCUGGUAGCCACGCCGUAAACGAUGAGUGCUAAGUGUUAGGGGGUUUCCGCCCUUUAGUGCUGCAGCCAACGCAUUAAGCACUCCGCCUGGGGAGUACGGCCGCAAGGCUG
rnacentral:rRNA from 1 species